rnacentral:misc_RNA from 1 species
UCUCCGUAGGUGAACCUGCGGAGGGAUCAUUACAGAGUUCAUGCCCUACCGGGUAGAUCUCCCACCCUAUGUUAUUAUUACUUUGUUGCUUUGGCGGGCCGUCAGGCCUCGGCUUGGCUACCGGCUCUCGCUGGUAAGCGCCCGCCAGAGAACCCCAAACCCUGAAUAUCAGUGUCGUCUGAGUACUAUAUAAUAGUUAAAACUUUCAACAACGGAUCUCUUGGUUCUG